UUUUUUUCUUUUCUUGUUUUUUUUUUGAGACAAGAUCUCACUCUGUUGUCCAGAUUGGAGUGCAGUGGGGUGAUUUCGGCUCACUGCAACAACCUCUUACCUCAGCCUCAGAGUAGCUGGGACCACAGGCGCACACAACCACAUCCAGCUAAUUUUUUGUAUCUUUUGUAGAGACAGGGUUUCAUCAUGUUGCCUAGGCUGGCCUCGAACUCCUAGGCUCAAGCGAUCCUCCUACCUCAGCCUCCCAAAGUGCUAGGAUUGCAGGCAUGAGCCACCACACCUGGCCCAGCUGUCUACUCACCCUUUAAAACCGGAUUGCAACUAUCCUUAAUUUCCCCAGAAUUAUGUGUCCCACUUUGUUUCUGAACUUCAGCGCAUACCUGUUUAUCACACACACUGUAGUUACUGAUGUCCUGUUGUUCAAGUUAUAUCCUUGAUGUCCAAGUUACCUUUUGAUAAAUUCCUUAAGGAUCAUGUUUUAUUUGACUUUCUACAGCAAUUAGUGUAGUUCCUGACAAAUAGGAACCACUAUUCCCUUCACUAUUUCAAUAAAUGCUGAAUGAAUAUUUUAUACACAGCUAACCAAAGGGCUUGUACCAUAUGCUCUACUAAUUUUAUUCUAAGAAAGUGUGAUGUUCAAAUAUAUUUGAAAAACAGCAGAUAUAUCAACAAUAAACAUGUUAAUUCUGAUUGGGUCAUACGUAAAGGCCAUGAGAAGAACAAGCAUAAAUACACCCUCUACAUAAAGAUAAUAGCUCAUCCUUACUAAGCAUUUAUGCUGUGCCAUUUACUCUGCUAAGCAAUUUACAAUUAUUUGAUUUAAUCCAAUGACAUAACUCUCUGUGGGUUAAGUUCUAUUGUUUGCCUUAUUUUACAAGAUAUGCGGAAACCGAGCACUAGAGAAAUUACAUAACCUCAAGAUCACACAAGUAGUGAGCAGUGGUGCCAGGGUUUCAACCCAGAGUUCCUGACUCUGGAGCCUCUACUCUUAACCAUAUGAAACAGACUUCUUAGCGGUAACUGGUGCUUCCAAGAUGCUUAAUGUGGUACUCUGACCCGCAAUAAGUGAGCUUCAAUGAGAAAAACUUAGGAUGGACCAACAGCACAUUUUCCCAUAUUCUAUCAAAUCGUGAAGACACCAAACUACGAAAGGGUCUACCUGCAAAUUAAGUCCUUGAAGACAAGUAUAUGUAUAUCCCGGGUUUUCUUCCACAAGCUUUCAACAAACUACACUUUUCCUCUGAACAGAAUAUCUUAAAAAUAAAUAAAUAAAUACAACUUUGGCUUUCUUUUAAUAUUCACACAGUAAUUAUUUUUCUAUUAUGAACUGAAAACCUAAAUACUUAAAUACAAAGUCAUCAUUUCCAGGAUAGCCAAGAGCCAAGAACUAAAAAAAAAAAAAAAAAUUAAGGCCUCGUUUAUAGUUUUGAGGAAUGGGGAUCCAAACAACACAGUCCACAAGUCAUCUUGGACUCUGAAGUGUGCAGAACUUGCUACAGUAUCUAACCAAUCACAUGGGUGAGUUGCGGGUACCUUGAUACCGACAAGUUAGCUUCAAAGUUCCCUUACACGAGCCUCUAAAUCAGCUGAGACCAAUUAUUGUUAAUGCUCUCCGGGGCCGUGUUGAGGACUCCCAAUUGGCAAUCUGGAACGUUUCCAGAACUUGGUGGGGGGGAGGGGGCUCAUAUUUCGUGGAGAAUGGGGGAGGUGAGCCCUGGAUAUAGGGAUAACUUUUUAACUAGCCUUAAUUGGGGUCUUUGCGGCCAGGCUGUAAAGAUUCCCGCCACACUAAUAAGAAUCAGCCACGGCCUUUUAAUUGGAACGCCGGAACUCUGCCUUGUUUUACUAAUAUCUUAAUAACACGUUUCUAUGAUGGACAUGUUGGUUCCUUGUAUUUUAAGACGCGGCCACAAACUGAAGCGAUAGCGAUCACGUAUAUGCAGUCCCCCAAUCGUCCAAGCCGAAUAGGUUGCAUGUAGUAUCACUCAAAAAACAUUCAUUACCGUCGGUGUGUUGAGUGGUGAGGGCCAGUGUGCGAAUUCAUUAAUGGAAGUCGCGGGACCCCGAGCGGUUGGAGCCCUGCCACACCCCUCUGCUUGCGUUAAGACAACCUGACCCAACCUCU
rnacentral:lncRNA from 1 species